UACAGAGGUCUCAAGCGUUGUUCGGAUUCAUUGGGCGUAAAGGGUGCGUAGGUGGCGCGCUAAGUCAGGUGUGAAAUUUCGGAGCUUAACUCCGAAACUGCAUUUGAUACUGGCGUGCUUGAGGACUGGAGAGGAGACUGGAAUUCAUGGUGUAGCAGUGAAAUGCGUAGAGAUCAUGAGGAGGACCAGUGGCGAAGGCGGGUCUCUGGACAGUUCCUGACACUGAGGCACGAAGGCCAGGGGAGCAAACGGG
rnacentral:rRNA from 1 species